rnacentral:rRNA from 1 species
CCUACGGGAGGCAGCAGUGGGGAAUAUUGGACAAUGGGGGAACCCUGAUCCAGCAAUGCCGCGUGAGUGAUGAAGGCCUUAGGGUUGUAAAGCUCUUUUACCAGGGAUGAUAAUGACAGUACCUGGAGAAUAAGCUCCGGCUAACUCCGUGCCAGCAGCCGCGGUAAUACGGAGGGAGCUAGCGUUGUUCGGAAUUACUGGGCGUAAAGCGCACGUAGGCGGUUACUCAAGUCAGAGGUGAAAGCCCGGGGCUCAACCCCGGAACUGCCUUUGAAACUAGGUAACUAGAAUCCUGGAGAGGUGAGUGGAAUUCCGAGUGUAGAGGUGAAAUUCGUAGAUAUUCGGAAGAACACCAGUGGCGAAGGCGGCUC